rnacentral:rRNA from 1 species
CGUAGAGUGGCGAACGGGUGAGUAACACGUGGGUGAUCUGCCCUGCACUCUGGGAUAAGCCUGGGAAACUGGGUCUAAUACCGGAUAGGACCAUGCUUUAGUGUGUGUGGUGGAAAGUUUUUCGGUGUAGGAUGAGCCCGCGGCCUAUCAGCUUGUUGGUGGGGUAAUGGCCUACCAAGGCGGCGACGGGUAGCCGGACUGAGAGGUUGGUCGGCCACAUUGGGACUGAGAUACGGCCCAG